rnacentral:rRNA from 2 species
GCGACCCCAGGUCAAGCGGGGCUACCCGCUGAGUUUAAGCAUAUCAAUAAG